rnacentral:snRNA from 1 species
AUACCUUUCUCGACCAUUUGGCUAAGAUAAAGUGUAAUAUUUGUUCUUAUUAGUUUAAUAUCCAAUAUAUGGACCAUAUGUUCAUUUUGAUAUUAAAUUUAUUUUUUAUGUGUAUCAAAUAUGGUUGUGUGCCGUCGGAACGCAU